UCAAAAGAAUGAGUUCGGACUCUAAAAGCGUCGGCUCCAACACUCGUACUUUCAGCCCAAACCCUAACCAAGGACUCUAAAAUUACCAAAGAUGGUUCAGCCACUUGUGCAAUUAGAGAAGGUUCAAAAGGACAUACAUAUUUGAAAGACGGAUUUUGGGUGCAGCAAUGGCGACGGUGUUCCAAUUUGAGGCUUUUUGGGUCAGCCUAAGCAACAUCUUCUUGCAACUGGAUGGAGUGUGUAAGUGCAAAGAGGCUUGUUGUAGUUGAUUCGGUCCUUUUUCAUCUAGAAUGAAAGAAUUAGUUAAUCCUGGGAAUCUGGCAUGCUAAUCAGCC